rnacentral:rRNA from 1 species
GUAGAGGAUGCUUCUGGGCAGCGGCCGGUCUAAGUUCCUUGGAACAGGACGUCAUAGAGGGUGAGAGUCCCGUAUGCGACCGGUUGGCACCCGUCACGUAGCUCCUUCGACGAGUCGAGUUGUUUGGGAAUGCAGCUCUAAAUGGGUGGUAAAUUCCAUCUAAAGCUAAAUACCGGCCAGAGACCGAUAGCGCACAAGUAGAGUGAUCGAAAGAUGAAAAGCACUUUGGAAAGAGAGUUAAAAAGCACGUGAAAUUGUUGAAAGGGAAGCGCAUGCAACCAGACUUGUCGGCGGUGUUCCGCCGGUCUUCUGACCGGUCUACUCGCCGCCGACAGGCCAGCAUCGUGUGGGUGUGCCGGAUAAAGGCGUCGGGAAUGUGGCCCCUCGGGGUGUUAUAGCCCGGCGCAUAAUACGGUGCCGCCCGCGCGAGGUCCGCGCUUCGGCUAGGAUGCUGGCGUAAUGGUCGUAUGCGGCCCGUCUUGAAACACGGACCAAGGAGUCUAACAUCUGUGCGAGUGUUCGGGUGUCAAACCCCUACGCGGAAUGAAAGUGAACGGAGGUGGGAGCUUCGGCGCACCAUCGACCGAUCCUGAUGUCCUCGGAUGGAUUUGAGUAAGAGCAUAGCUGUUGGGACCCGAAAGAUGGUGAACUAUGCCUGAAUAGGGUGAAGCCAGAGGAAACUCUGGUGGAGGCUCGCAGCGGUUCUGACGUGCAAAUCGAUCGUCAAAUUUGGGUAUAGGGGCGAAAGACUAAUCGAACCAUCUAGUAGCUGGUUCCUGCCGAAG